rnacentral:rRNA from 1 species
CCUACGGGAGGCAGCAGUGAGGAAUAUUGGUCAAUGGACGAGAGUCUGAACCAGCCAAGUAGCGUGAAGGAUGACUGCCCUAUGGGUUGUAAACUUCUUUUAUAUGGGAAUAAAACGUUCCACGUGUGGGAUUUUGUAUGUACCAUAUGAAUAAGGAUCGGCUAACUCCGUGCCAGCAGCCGCGGUAAUACGGAGGAUCCGAGCGUUAUCCGGAUUUAUUGGGUUUAAAGGGAGAGUAGGUGGAUUGUUAAGUCAGUUGUGAAAGUUUGCGGCUCAACCGUAAAAUUGCAGUUGAAACUGGCAGUCUUGAGUACAGUAGAGGUGGGCGGAAUUCGUGGUGUAGCGGUGAAAUGCUUAGAUAUCACGAAGAACUCCGAUUGCGAAGGCAGUUCACUGGACUGCAACUGACACUGAGGCUCGAAAGUGUGGGUAUCAAACAGGAUUAGAUACCCGAGUAGUC